CUGGAUCCAGCUCUCCUUAAGGAGCUCCACCCCGUGACCAAGACAUCUGCAGAGGCCUCUCCCGUUUUGUUUUUGAUGCCGCAUGUGAAGAGAGUGGCAGAUCCCCAAUAGGAGUCUGAUAAUAGCAGAACGACUGGGCACUGAACCCCCAAAGCUCGAAACUCACCAAAAACAGGCAACAGGUACUCACAAAAUAUUUGUUGAACCAUUAAAGGAAAAGAUGAAUGCUUUAAUCAGGAUGGGAUGUUGUUGACACUGGCAGUGCUGCUGACAGAAAGGAGUCUGGGGUCCAUCAGUCUGCAUCUAGUUUAGAGUCUGUGACUCACUGCAUGGAAGCUGUUCACCAGAGGUUCCCUCUAUCAUAUGUCUGCCUGGAGCUCUGAUUUCUGCGACUUCAGGAAAAGAAACAGCCUGGCAGGUACCUGCAUGCGCGUGCACACACACAAGCACACACACCACACACAGAUGCAUACAGGAGAGAGGCAAAGAUGGUCAAAGAAGGAAGUUAAGCCAAAAAGUUAUUUUUAAUGAGAACAAAUUCAUCCAUUUGAGUAUUUUACCUAACAGUAUAGCAGGUUGUUUCUAAAAUGUGAAAAUUAAUCAGUUAGGUCUUUAGGCUGUUCUCCCUACAUAUAAAUACAACGGUCAUACACCCAAGCCAAAUAAUCUGAAAGUGUAAGAAAGUAUAAAGUAGGGGCACCUGGGUGGCUCAGUCGGUUGGGCAUCCAGCUUCGGCUCAGGUCAUGAUCUCACAGUCUGUGGGUUUGAGCCCCGCGUCAGGCUCUGUGCCGACAGCUCAGAGCCUGGAGCCUGCUUCAGAUUCUGUGUCUCCCUCUCUCUCUGCCCCUUACC